rnacentral:tmRNA from 1 species
GGGGAUGACAGGUUUCGACGGGGAAGGCUGGCUCCGCACUGCAAGCCGAGGCGCUCCACCCUCGUUAAUCAGGAGCACAAACAACAAGUGCCAACCGCACUGAACCCGCUCUCGCAAUGGCUGCGUAAGCAGCCUGAGCAGAGCGAUCACCCAAAGAGGUGAUCCGUCCGCCUUCGCCGUCGCCGUCCGGCGAUGAAGCGGGCGUCAUAAAUGGCGAGCGUGCGGCCUGCUGACGUCGAUAAAGCGGGCCAAAGAGGGGCUUUCGGGUCCCAUCGGCUAGCCUGACGAGCACCCUGUUGCGCGGGGGCCGCCGGGCGAACGUCAAAUAGCGCGACUAAGCUUGUAGACGUGCGCAGUCGAAUUCUUCGGACCCGGGUUCGAUUCCCGGCAUCUCCACCU